rnacentral:rRNA from 1 species
UACGGAGGGGGCUAGCGUUGUUCGGAAUUACUGGGCGUAAAGCGCACGUAGGCGGCUUUGUAAGUUAGAGGUGAAAGCCCAGGGCUCAACCCUGGAAUUGCCUUUAAGACUGCAUCGCUUGAAUCAUGGAGAGGUGAGUGGAAUUCCGAGUGUAGAGGUGAAGUUCGUAGAUAUUCGGAAGAACACCAGUGGCGAAGGCGACUCACUGGACAUGUAUUGACGCUGAGGUGCGAAAGCGUGGGGAGCAAACAGG